UACGAAGGGGGCUAGCGUUGUUCGGAAUUACUGGGCGUAAAGGGCGCGUAGGCGGUGUGUCAAGUCAGGCGUGAAAGCCCUCAGCUCAACUGAGGAAGUGCGCCCGAAACUGCUUUGCUUGAGUGCUGGAGAGGGUCGCGGAAUUCCCCAAGUAGAGGUGAAAUUCGUAGAUAUGGGGAGGAACACCGGUGGCGAAGGCGGCGACCUGGACAGUAACUGACGCUGAGACGCGAAAGCGUGGGUAGCAAACAGG
rnacentral:rRNA from 1 species